CCUGCCGGCGACCGGCGACGGGUGCGUAACGCGUAUGUAACCUACCUUUGACAGGGGGAUAACAUCGAGAAAUUGGUACUAAUACCCCAUAACAUCACCGGAGGCAUCUUCGGUGGUUGAAAACUCAGGUGGUCAGAGAUGGACAUGCGUUGUAUUAGCUAGUUGGUGAGGUAACGGCUCACCAAGGCGACGAUACAUAGGGGGACUGAGAGGUCAACCCCCCACAUUGGUACUGAGACACGGACCAAACUCCUACGGGAGGCAGCAG
rnacentral:rRNA from 1 species